CGACUUUUCGCUACGCUGGCGCUCUGGGAAUACUAACCAUUUCAAAAACUACUAGCUAAAACUAACAACCCCGCUUUUUUUCCUUCGUUAUCCACGAGACUUUACAGCUUGUUCUCUGCGACAGUAUCUCAGAAACACUGCGACGUGUGUAUUUUCAAGGUGGAAGCACGAAGAUUCACUGACAGCUGGAGUGUGUACCAAGCUGGUCUAGUUACCUGUUUGGUGGAUGACUGGAUUCAGCAGACUGUUUGAAAAGUUAAGGCCUGGGGAAAGUUAAUGAGAAGAUUCGAUCAGCUGGCAAACCACCCCCACCACCCCCGCCCCCACCUUCCUCGACGCCAUCCUCUUAUCCC
ensembl:lncRNA